AUUGAACGCUGGCGGCGUGCCUAACACAUGCAAGUCGAGCGGUAACAGGUGUAGCAAUACAUGCUGACGAGCGGCGAACGGGUGAGUAAUGCUUCGGAAUCUACCCAAUGGUGGGGAAUAACCAGCCGAAAGGUUGGCUAAUACCGCAUACGUCCCACGGGAGAAAGCAGGGGAUCGCAAGACCUUGCGCCAAUGGAUGAGCCGAAGUCGGAUUAGCUAGUUGGAGGGUAACGGCCUACCAAGGCGACGAUCCGUAGCUGGUCUGAGAGGACGACCAGCCACACUGGGACUGAGACACGGCCCAGACUCCUACGGGAGGCAGCAGUGGGGAAUAUUGGACAAUGGGGGAAACCCUGAUCCAGCGACGCCGCGUGUGUGAAGAAGGCCUGCGGGGUUGUAAAGCACUUUUAGUGGGGAUGAAAUGCUCAGGGUUAACACCUCUGGAUUUUGACCUAACCCACAGAAAAGCACCGGCUAACUCUGUGCCAGCAGCCGCAGUAAC
rnacentral:rRNA from 1 species